rnacentral:lncRNA from 1 species
GCCGCAAGCAAAGUAGUAAGGCAGCCACCUCUUCAGCACAAACUCGAAGCCCUCCCCGUCACCUUGUGUGGCGUUUGCAAUCAUCUUGGCUCUUGAGAGGUCGCAUCUCAAGUAACUCCACAGAUUUGGUAGCUGGUACACACUGUGUGGGAAAACGGUGUCGUUCGGGGCAUCAUACUUGAACACUGCAUGCAUGCAACAUCAAUAUAUGCCGCGCGCGAUCGCAAUAAAUAUUAUAUUCAUACGCAUAUAUGAAAAAGAUAUUUGUAAAAUUAAAUUUAUUGUGAUAUGAGAACUAAAUUAAUUAAUUACCUAGCACAUCGUUCACGUAAAAGGGAGCAUUUUUGAAAGCCCAAACGCUGUAAUUGAAGCCAAAGCGCCAGUUAUCAGAGCCACCCACGAUGAUCUUUUUGGGACCAUCAUCAUCAUUUGUGUUAUUGGAGUUAUGGGAUUCAUUUUUGUGACCCCAUGGCCACUGAUAUGUGUUGUUGAAUCCAUUAGACCAGCCCCGGUUCGCCGAGCAUACUGCCAGCAUUGAAGCAGCCGAUAGAAUUACAAGGAGUGAAUGUGCAGCUUUGAAAGCCAUUGAUUAAUUAUUAAUUUGUAAUGAAACAAUUAAGAACUGAAAAUUGUUAGUUGUAGAGAGAAGAGGUUUUUGAUGUUGCGAAGAUGGGUGCAUUAUUGGCUCUUUUUUAUAGGGGGAAAAGGGAGAGUGUAGAACUGCCGAAUUUAACUAUUUUUUAGGUGAAAAAAAGAAAAGAUUAAGAAAAUGAUUAUGAUGUGCUCUAAAUUUCAACAAAUUCAUCAACAUCCUUCUCGUUCAGGUCAAUAUUGCUUCCCAAGAGUCAAAUUUGCAAUUUGUGCUCUCCUAUGGUAGACUCAAAUUGAUCAGUGUGAAAGCAUUUAAUGUGUUUUCAACAAAAUGAACUUGAGAAGUUUUAUUAACGUUCAAAGGAGCUACAAUAUUUAAUGGGUUGGUACUUGGCAGGUAAAGAGGGAAAUUCCUCCAUCAAAAUCGAAAAAGGAAACUUACGCGAUCUUAUGCUAUAAUCAUUUCUAAUUACCUUUUAAGUUUAAAGGUUGAUCCCCUGACCAAUUAAUUUUUAUGAACUUAAUGAAGAAUUAAUAAGAAUGUAAUUGUGCUGGUUUAACUAAUGCAAUUUGACGAAAUUAAGUUGGACCAUAGGAAUUGUUUGAGGGAAGUACAUCGAGGAGACCAGACGUGAUGAGCAGGUGGUUGGUGGCAGGGUUCUGCGAGUAGGUGUAUCCUGCAAGAGCCAAGUAGCAGGGGAAUAGGAGCAGGAGUAUUCUGCUUGUCCACGAAUAUGCCAUUCGGGAGGCCGAACUCCUGUCAGAGGCAUAAGGUCACUCCUGCUAGGCAUGGAGGCGAGGAGACACAGUCAACGACAGUUGGCAGGACGUGCAUUCCUAUCCGAGAGUUAAGGCACGAGGGUCAUCUCCAUUCGCCGACAAUGGCGGUAAUGGGGCGUCCACACCCGAGAGUGGGGAGAAUGACGGGCGUGGAUUGCGGAAGAUCUGGAUUCAGAGGAAGCCUAUAAAAAGGUAACCAACGAAGGUAAAAGGGUUAGAAUUUUGGCUAUUUGAACUAAGAAAAGAGAACUCUAAGAACGGAGAUUACAGAAAAGCCAUAAGAUUUGUGGCAAGCGUUCCCAGAACCUUCACAUCUGACUUGAGCGUCGGAGGGUUUACGCCGGGAAAACAACCGGCGUGCUCUGACUCGUUUCUGUGAACGCAGGGAUACUUGGAGAAGAAAGCAUACGAGGAGAGAUCCUGAUCGAGGUGAGGUUGAUCGAGCAGAUAUCCUGGUCGUAGGACGAGCAUAACCAGAAUCUUGCAUCAACAGGAAUUAAUAUAAAAUAUCUUAUUACGGUUAAGUGACGUGAUCAUGAUGACACGAUUUAUUUGGUUUAAAUGCAAUACACACACACACAUUAUACUCUUACAUAAUAGCUUUUCGGACUUUAACAAUGCUCAAAAUUUUGGACUAGCUUUAAUAUAUAUUAGAAAUUUCUUAAUGAGGAUUCCCGUACUUAAAGUGCGGGAUGGACUUUCACACUGUUGUGAAAUGUUAUAAAAAUAUUUCAUGCCGUUAUGAAACCCUUUCACAAUAGUUUGAAAAUUCAUCCCGCACUUUAUCAAAUAUACAUACACACACACAUAUAUAUAUAUACAUGUAUGUAUUAAUUAUUCUUAGCUGUAGGCACUGGUAUUCUCUAAAGUACCAAUUUGGGAUUUCACAUUGGUGUCCAAUGCUUUAACAUCAUUGUAAACUAUUGAAAUAUUAUUUUACAUUGCUGUGAAAGUAUUUGAGACUAUUGUGAAAUCCCUAAUUCUUAUUUAAAAAAAAUACAAGUGCUCCCAGUAGAAAAUGACUUAUAUAUAAUAUUUUUUUUCGGGCUUUAAUUACAAAAUUCGGGAUCCUAAAUUGAAACAUCUACAUACAUACAUGCAUACAUAUAUAUUAAUUUUCUAAUAAGAGAUUUAACUUUUUUAAAGGGUUUUUUUUUAAAAAAAAAAAAUAUGGCGGGGACUUAAUCCGUAGCUAUUAAACUGUCAGGUUCAUGGACGCCAUAAUGGAAUUGGUACAUUGGCGAUUCAGAUAGCUAAAUGCCAAUAAGUUAAAGUCUUUCUUCAAGCAUGUCUAGCUCAUCUUAUGUCAAUUAUUCAAUUUAGAUGUAUUCACGGUUUUUAGAUAUGUUAUUGCUCUCGAAAAAGAGAGGAAAAGCUGGCGUUUUGCAAGAGUCCUGGAUCUUGGAUCUUGGACCUUGAUGAACAGAAAAUUCCUCUAUUUUUAGCCCUUGGUUUUUUAUUAUAUUUAUCAUUUCUGAUCAACUAUCAGAAUUAAUAUGUAUCAAAUUAAUAUUUUUUUGAAGAAGCUACUAUUGAUUUUUUUUUGUUAUGCAGACAAUAAGAUGCUUUUGAAAACUGAUACUUUUGAAGAUAUGAUCUAAUUCAUCUUAUGCUUGAAGUAGCUUUGUUUUUCGGUACUUCCAUUUUCAUUUAACCUUUGUUUACUCCAUAGGGUAGGUACAAAUUCGAAGUGCCUUCUAAUUCUGCUGCUCAUAUUUCCAGCCUUUUCCCCUUUGUUUUAAUUUGGUUUAUUGAUUGCGGACAUGUCUGAUUUAGUUUAUAUCAUUAUUGGACUAAAUUGUUAUCCAUGACUCCAUUUUCAAUACACUUGACGUUGCAUACAAGUCUGAACAGUGACUCCAUUCUCACACUCAUAAAUGAUCAUAUAUGCAUGUGAUCGUGAUCUCACAUACCGAAAGACAUAAUUAUACUUGAUAGCGCUCAAUAGCUAAACUAAAACGGUAAUGAGAUAUAUAAAUAUACCACUAUAAAUGGGAUUUGUAGCAAGCCUACAGAAGCAAUAUCAGCUGUCGGUAUUAUUUAAUUAGGAAGACACCUGCAUAAUACAAAGACAGAGAGAAAAAUAUAUAUGACCUAGACCUAGCUAAUGCCAUCUGUGAGUUGAAAUGCGUUUCUCUAAAACCAUCUGAUAGGGGAUCUUAUUUCAGGAAACAGUUUCAAGUACUCAGGCAGAGAGCUAGCUUUUCACUUCAACAAAACUUUCAAGUGCUUUUUGCUGAAACACUUUCACAAUAAAACAAUCCUAGUAAUUUAUUUCUUCUUUCUUUUCCAUGCCUGAAUAUUUGUAUUUAUUCCUUAAAAUGUGGCUGAGCGGCUGGCUAAGGGUUUUAAAUCUCUGUUUUCUAUUCUAAAAUUUCAAUCUUCUUUUUCUUCUUCUAAAGAGCUUUUUAAUACGAUGAUGAUCAACGAUAUGGAUGGCAAAAUGACAUAUCCCAAAUUUUAACUCAAUUGACUCGAUCUGAAUUUUUUGAGAUUUGACCCGAAUUUAAGGGUCACGAGUUAGGCUCAGGUCUAAAUAUUAGGGCUCGAUUAAAUUCGAGUUAGGGUUUGGGCCUUGCCUAACCCGAACUGAACCCAAAACUUUAAAAAAAAAAAAGCCAUGACUUUUGUUUAUACUUAUUUUAUUAUUUAUAUAAUUAUAUGGUUAAGACCUUGAGUGAUUACGCUUAUGUUAAAUUUUAAUAUAUAUGAGAGGUUAUGUCCCUUUUUUUAAACAAAUUAGAUUACUUAAAUAUAAAAAAAUUCUUUAAAAAAAUUAUGGUCGGGCUCGGACAAAACCCAACUUGACCCUGACCUGAAUUGGGUCAAGCUGGAAUGACUGGAUUUUUUUUUUCAAUCAAGCCUUUUAUUUUAGUAAUCGGAUCGGGCGAAUUGCCGUCCUUAAUCAAUGGCGUGGUUCUCUUUGAAAUGAGUUUUUCCAAGGGCAUAUGUAUAUGUUUUCACCAAAUUAAUUUAGCUAGGAUCCAGUUUGAACAAUUUAGUGGUUGUUCUUACCAAGUAUAGCCCAAAUUCUAUUUAAACAAAUAAAUUUAUAAUUGAGGGAGUUUGAGCUAAUGAUAGUUUAGGUGUGUGUUUUUUUUUUUUUAUGUUGGGGGGUGGCAUGUGGCAUAGCUGAGGUGAACUGGGAGGUGAUCUGAGGUGUUUUAAUUAAGUGGGGAAUAUUAUGAAGAGCUUAGUGGAGCUCCUAGGAGUUAGUUUAAAGAGUUGAUAUAGAGAGCUUAAGAUAACUUAGGGUACCUUAGCUGCAAUUAGGAGAUAACUUUAGAGAUCUUAUCUACAAAGCUCAUUAUAUCUCAUGGUAUAACUCAAGUGAAUUCAUAUAUGAAAUAAUAAUGGUUUAGGUUUGUUUUCUGAUGUUUGAGGGGGUAGUUGGUUUAGCUGAGAUGAUGUGGGAGGUGAUCUGAGGUGUUUGAAGUGGGGAAUAAUAUGGAAGCUCAAUAGAGCUUACGAGAGUUAGUUUAGAGCUCAGGUAGUUGGGAGAUACCUAUGGAGAGCUUAUUUGGAGAGCUACGAGCUUAUAGUAUAACUCAGGUGAAUUCAUUUAUAAAAUGUGAUCUAGGCAUCAAAAUCAUCACAAUAAGCAGAAAACAAGUAUGAACAAUAAAGAACACAAAAAAAUUUACAUGAUUCACCCUUUUAGCCUACAUUUACGAGAGUAAUUAUCUCUAAUCUACUAUGUAAGUGAAAUAUUAAAUAAUUUUUAUUACAUACAAACAGAACUUUGUUAAAGUUUGUUUUUAUGGUGAAUGAUAACAUGAUGGAUAGUAUGGAUUUUAUAGAGAAAAGAAAAAUAAUCUAAAAUAAGAAUAAGAAAAAUGUUCUUUUGAAAGAUGAAGUGGUUAAGAUCUUUCAUAAAGUUUUUAAAAAUUGAAAAAACCUUAGAAAUGAUGGAAAAAGAUGAUGAAGCUCCAAAGAAUUCAGAUCUCAAAAGAUGCCAAAAGAUCUGUCAAAAUUGAAUAUAUGGAGCUUAUAUCGGAGUGUUCCUAAGAGUUUCUUGAUAAUUCUUGAGAGCUAGCAAAUUUUCAUCAGUUUGUCCUCCUUAAGUGAGUUUAUAUUUGUCUUUUUCUUUUAUUUACUUGAUAGUGACCCAAAUUACUGGUGAACAAGUAAUUCCCUUCGCUUUCACAUAUUACUUGUCCUUUGCCACGUGAAGAUGUUGGUAUAAUGGGCUCAUUACUUUUUAGGGGACAGUUAAAGAGCAAUGGUAUGUCUUUUUCUCAUUAUUGUGCUCAACUGACCUAUUUUUCUAUUGAUCCUUAUUUUAGCCUAAAGAACAAGAUAUUUAUUUAUUUUUCGAUGGCAUGCACCUCCAACAUGUGAGGGCUCGAGUUAUUAUUUUUUAUUUUGCCCCUUAAACUGGACAAAUUCAUAUGAGCUAUUUUAGUUGAGAGUAACCUUAUUGUAUUGAAGCCAUCUUCCAUUCUAAUUACAGUGAUGACUUUUCUUCUAUUUUAUUCUCUAUUGCCACAUGUAGCUGGCCAAUUGGUCCAAAUCAUCCAAAAUUUAGUAAUGUAGUAACUAUGGCAUAAUAAAAACAUUAGGUGUCUUCAAUGGAAAUAAAAAUAAAUAAUAGAUAGCAAAUAAUUAUAUGAGCAUGAUUAUAUUUUUUGUGAUACUAUUCAACGAAGAUAACGGCAUUGACUAUUAUAUUAACGAGUAACAUUUAUUAUUAGUUAAGUGUAGAGAAUAAUGAAGUAUUAUUAGAAUUAAUCUUCAGACCUAAUAAUUCUAAGAUUGGGAUGAUAAUAGUUUUAUGAUUAUUAAUCAUAUUGAAAGAUUUUUUCUUAUUUAAUAGCUGGAAAGUAGAAUAGAACUUUGAUAUGGAGCUAAAUUUGACACAUUCAAUAAAAAUGAUAUUGAAUAAGAAUUUACUUAAUAUAUUUUAUUAUAGUUAUGGCUAACUAUGGAGAAGUUAGGAAAUUUCUUAGGCUCUAUUUACUAUUGAGGUGUUAUUGUGGCUUAAAAACUGGAGUUUAUGAAAAAAAAAGAAAAAAAAAAGUUAUAGCUAUGAAAUAAAGUGUACACACACACAUACAUUUCUCAUUAUAUAAGUGUGGAAUUAAAUCAAUUUAGCUUCCAAACUAUAACAAAUAAGUGCUUGCAAAAUACUUUGGUACUAAAUUCUUAAACUAUCCAACCACAAUAUUAAACAGGGUCUUAACCUAUCCUAAAUUAAAAUAAUUUUUCAAUAAAUAUUAUUCAUUAAAAUAGUAUUUUUUUUAAAGUCAUGCAACGAGUCUUUUUAUAAGGACUGUUAUGCAUAUUACUAAUUUUAUGGGGAUUAUGAAAAAUUAUGUGAAGGACAAAUAUGAACAUUAUUUAUUUAAUUAGUUUUUUAGGUAAACCUCGAUGGUAUAAGGGAGGAUUUUGUUAAAUGAAGAGAAAAGAGAAAAUGACACCUAGUUAGGGGAGAUUUAUUUAUUUUAUAUAUUAUGAUUUAUAAAUAAAUUUUAAAAAUUAUUAGGCCACAACCAAAUGUCGAAACUCUCUCUUGGUGUUGCCUAUCUAUUAAUGACAAAUGACGUGUCACCAAUCAAUGACUGUCAUGUAUUAGAUAAUGAUUGACUUUUUAUAUAAUCACUAUUAUCAAUGAAUGAAUGAGCUAUAUUUAUUUCGCAUGCAAGUUUUAUAUCCCAACUUUAUAUACUUAUUAUUACUUAUAGCUCUUAUUAAUUUUAAUUAUUUAUCAAGCUAAAUCACCUUCUUUUUAUUGUGUUUUGCUUUGAUCACUUACUUUUUUUUUUUUUGGUCUUAUCCACGAGGUAUCCUGGGGAGGGCCCCAACUGUGGGAGACACCUUUAAGCCCGUACCACAACUCAGACUAGAAGUCCCCGCUCGAACCGGGAGGCACAGGUUCUCCCAACAAAGGCGACUUCCCUGCGACUCGAACUGGGGAGCAAACCCAGUCAAGCCACUUAAGGGGACUCCAUUGCCAGUGGAGCCAACACUUUGUUGGUCUUUGAUCACUUACUCCCUACAACGUUUAUAAUACCUUAUUGGUCGUUACUGAUUUGACAUUAAUUAGAACCAGGGAAAAAAAAAAAGUAUGGCCGGUUUCAGAGGCGGGGUGGUCCGGGUGGAUAUUUAUUUGUUAUCACCAAAAUUUAAUGGUCUUCUGUUCAUUCAUAAGGAGCCGAGCUUGACCUCAUCAAUUCAAAUUGUUAUAAUCCAACAAUUUUGUUACAGUGGAUAAGGAAGAAAAAAGAAGAAGAAACGCGGGCUUUUUAUAGUUAUAAAGACAUCAAAUUAUUACAUACAUUCUAUGAAGAAAAAAAAACAAGUAAUUUAAAACGUGACACUCUCUCAAAACUUUAUUUAAAACCCAAUAUAUAAUCGCUUAAAUCAAGGAAAAAAAAUAAUAUAAAUGCUCAAAGAUAACCUAAACGAUGGCUUCAUCUCCCUCAGCUUCUUAAUUUUAUUGUAAAAAUAUAUGUGUGAUACUAGUAAUGCCAGCGACGGAGCAGCGGCAGGACCAUGAACUUCAUCCUGCCUUCUCUGCAAUGGAGGCCGCCGUGUUCACCGCAAGCAAAGUAGUAAGGCAGCCACCUCUUCAGCACAAACUCGAAGCCCUCCCCGUCACCUUGUGUGGCGUUUGCAAUCAUCUUGGCUCUUGAGAGGUCGCAUCUCAAGUAACUCCACAGAUUUGGUAGCUGGUACACACUGUGUGGGAAAACGGUGUCGUUCGGGGCAUCAUACUUGAACACUGCAUGCAUGCAAUAUCAAUAUAUGCCGCGCGCCAUCGCAAUAAAUAUUAUAUUCAUACGCAUAUAUGAAAAAGAUAUUUGUAAAAUUAAAUUUAUUGUUAUAUGAGAACUAAAUUAAUUAAUUACCUAGCACAUCGUUCACGUAAAAGGGAGCAUUUUUGAAAGCCCAAACGCUGUAAUUGAAGCCAAAGCGCCAGUUAUCAGAGCCACCCACGAUGAUCUUUUUGGGACCAUCAUCAUCAUUCGUGUUGUUGGAGUUAUGGGACUCAUUUUUGUGACCCCAUGGCCAUUGAUAUGUUUUGUUGAAUCCAUUAGACCAGCCCCGGUUCGCCGAGCACACUGUCAGCAUUGAAGCUGCUGAUAGAAUCACAAAGAGUGAAUGUGCAGCUUUGAAAGCCAUUGAUUAAUCUGUAAUGAAAAAAUUAAGACACUGAAAAUUGUUAGUUGUAAAGAGAAGAGGUUUUUGAUGUUGUGAAGAUGGGUGCAUUAUUGGCUCCUUUUUAUAGGGGAAAAGGGAGAGUGUCGAACUGCCAAAUUUAUCCUUUUUUUUAGGUGAGAAAUAGAAAAGAUUAAGAAAGUGAUCAUGAUAUGCUCCAAAUUUCAACAAUUCAUGAACAUCCUUUUAGUUCGGGCCAAACUUUUGUUCUUUAAAUUCUACAAAGUUCAAGAAAUAUUGCUUACCAUGAGUCAAGUUUGCGACUUAUGCUCUCUUAUGGUAGACUUAAAUUGAUUAGUGUGAAAGCAGUUUAUGUGUUUUCAACAAAAUGAAAUUGAGAAAUUUAACUAACGUCCGAAGGAGCUGCAAUAUCUAAUGGGUUGGUGCUUGGUUGGCGGAGAGGGAAAUUCCUCCCUCAAAAUCGAAAAGGGAAACUUACUCGAUUGUAUGCUAUAAAUCAUUUCUAAUUACUUUUGAAGUUUAAAACGUGGACCUUUGACCAACACGAAGUCAAUUAAUUUAUAUAAAAUUGAUUUAGAAAUUAAUUUGACGAAAUUAAGUUGGACCGUAGGAAUUAAUAUAAGAUAUAUAGCUUAUUACGGUUAAGUGAUGUUAUGAUGAUGACACGAUUUAUUUAGUUUAAAUGCAAUAUGAUAUAUAUAAUGUCAUUAUACUGUUACAUCACGUGGUGUAACAUAUUUUCGGACUUUAAUAAAAUUUAGAAUAUUUGAUCAGAGAGUCUUUAAUAUAUAGAUUAGAAGUUUUUCAAUGGGAGUUCCCCCGCUUUAUUAAAAUAUAGGACGAACUUUCACACUAUUUUAAAAUAUUAUAAAAAUAUUUUAUAUCAUUACGAAACCCUUUCACAAUGAUUUGAAAGCCCAUUACACACGCACACACACACAAAGAUUUCUUGAGCAUUAUGCUACUAAAUCAUAUGACCUAAUAACUUUCUUGGACUUAAAGAAAUUUAAAAUCUUAGACCAAAUUAAUCAUUACUCUACACACACACACACACACAAAAUAUAUGAAUAUGAUUAGGUGCGCGACAAGCCACGUGUCACCUGAUUAUUGGACGGACUAAGAGAUGCAAACCAAAGAUCAGUGACACAUGGCCAUAUAUAUAUAUAUAUAUAGAAUUGGAGAUUCACAAUAGUGUCUAUUGCUUGAACACCAUUGUAAACUGUUGAAAAAUUAUUUUACAAUGGUGUAAAAGUAUUUGACACUAUAGUGAUAUCCCAAAUCCAUAUUUUUAAAAUAUAUGAUCGCCCGCCGUAGAAAAUAACUUAUAUAUAGGGAUGGUAAUUUUUCUUAUUAGGAUAUAAUCCUACGAGAUGGGAUCGGAACAUACUUUUGUCUCAAGAAAAUAAAGGAACAUGAAUGAGACUUUUUUUAUCCCACUUGCAUAAAUGGGAGAGGAUUGGGAUUUGACAAAACUCGUCUCAUCCCAUCUCAUUGCCAACUCUAGUUGUUGUUUUGGUUUAUUAUUACGUUAUUGAAUUAUUGGAUAUUUUAACAUGGAUGAAGUUAGUUACUAUCUAAAUCUAUAGCUUUUAUCAAGCAUUUCAAUAAACAACUCGAAGACAAAUUACAUUACAUUAGAGUCUAUAUAUAUAUUUUUUUUGGUCUUUUACCUUAUCUCUAACUUUAAUGGAGUAAAAAAAUUCCUUAUAUAUAUGGCCACCUAUGGAUUUUUAAGUAGGAGAUUGGCAAUGGAACGAGACAGGACAUGAUUUACCAAUCCCAGUCUUGUCUUGUAUAUGUAAGUGGGAUAAAAAAUGUUAUUUAAAUAUGGUAGGGGUUUAAUCUGUAGCUAUUAAACUGUUAGGUACAUGGAGGCCAUAAUGGAAUUGGUACAUUCGCGAUUCAGAUAGCUAAAUGCCAAUAAGCUAAAGUCUUUCUUCAAGCAGAUCUAGCUCAUCUUAUGACAAUUUCUCAAUUUAUAUGUAUCACCGUUUGUAGAUAUUUUAUUGCUCUCGAAGAAGUGUGGAAAGCUGGCUUUUUACAAGUAUCUUGGAUCUUGAUAGAGUAGCAAACGCCUCUAUUUUUAGCCUUUGGUUUUUUAUUAUAUUUAUCAUUUCAGAUUGAUGAGCAAGACUAAUAUGUAUCACGUUAAUAUUGCCUUGAAGUAGCUACUAUUCAUUCAUUUAUUACUUUUUUUUUAAUGCAACACAAUAAGAUGCUUUUGAAAACUGAUACUUCUGAAGAUAUGAUGAUCUCAUGCUUGAGUAGCCUUUGUUUCAAAAUACUAAUUAACUGAAUAUAUAUAUAUAUAUUCUCAUCUCAUGCUUGAGUAGACUUUGUUUUUCGGUACUUUCUUCUUCAUUUAACCUUUGCUUACUCAAUAGGGUAGGUACCCCUUCCAAGUGCCUUGUAAUAUUUCUACUUCAUGUUUCUGCAAUUCUGUUGUUCAUAUUUCCAGCCUUUUCCCCUUUUUUUAAUUUGGUUUAUUGAUUGUAGACAUGUCUUAUUUAGUUUAUAUCAUUAUUGGAGUAAAUUGUUAUCCAUGACUCCAUUUUGAUUGGAAGAUCUGAACCCAUCUAUUAUUUGAAACACUUAAAAUUGCAUGUAAGUUUGAACACUGACUUUAUGCUUACACUCACAGAUGAACAUAUAUGCAUAUAAUUGUGAUCUUACGUACCCAAAGACAUAGUUAUGCUUGAUAACGCUCUAUAGGCUAUAGCUAAACUAAUAUGGUGAUGAUAUAAUAAAUAUAUUAUAUAUACCCCUAUAAAUUGAAAGUGCGGUAAGCCUACAGAAGUAAUAUCAAUUAUCAGCAGUUGGUACUAUUUAAUUAGGAACACACUUGCAAGACAAAGGCAAAGACAAAAUUAUAUAUAUGAUCUAGACCUAAUGCCAUCUGUAAGUUGAAAUGCCUUUUUCCGAAACCAGCUGAUUUUUUUUUUUUUCCAGGAAGCAGUUUCAGGUACUUAGGCAGAGAGCUAGCUUUUCACUUUAAUAAACUUUAAGUGUUUUUGUUGAAAAACCUUUACGAAAAUAAUCCUAAUAAUGUCUUUCUUCUUUUCUUUCUAAUGCAUGAAUAUCUGUAUUCAUUCCUUAAAACUUAAAAGGUGGCUGAGCCGCUGGCUAAGGAAUUUUAAAUCUCUGUUAUCUAUUCUUCUAAUAGUUCAAUCUUCUUUUUCUUCUUCUAAAGAGUUUUUAACUUUUACAGGUUGCUUCAUACCUCAAUAUGGUACCUAUCAGAGGUGGUAGUUCCCUGUUCUUCCGUAGGAUAAGAUUAGUGAGUUUCUUUCAGUCUUUACAUUGCAGUUUGGAGAAUUGAGUAAUGAUAGUUUGUUGCUUGUUAUAAUUAUAUGUAUAUUCUUAGCGUCUGGACAGCCUUAAACUCGUUUACAGGACUUCUACAAAUGGAUUUUGACAUGUUUGAUUUACUUUAUUAUGCGUAUUGAGUGCUAAAUAUGGUGAAAGGCAUAUAGUUUGAAAGUAGGAAUUGGAGAAAUUUCAGCUUAAUCCUUUAUUACAUAGUUAUAUCAGUCCCUGAUUUAGUGACAUUAAUGUAUCAAGAUUUUCCUUUGCCGGAUGAAGAUGAUAAUGGGAUGAGGAAGAUGAGAUUAUAGAAAACGAUUUCAGAAAAUGAAGAAGACAUUACAGAGGAAAAUAUUCAAGUUUUGCGAUCACUUAAUUUGUGCAUACAUUUAGGAUAAUUUUACGUAAAAGAUACUAUUAAAACUUAUCAUUUUAUUGUACUUUUGGUCGGUCAAUGUGAUUUUUAUGAAAUUUUGAAAUAAAUAAUACUACAUUUAACGUGUUUAAUUUAUGUAUAAUUAUUUUGUUAGUUAUCUUAUAUUCACUCAUAAUAUAGAUACUUCAAAAAUUAAAUCCAUAUUUUAUUUUAUUACGAAGAAUGAGAAGAAAAAAGCUUAUGAAAUAAUAUUAUUGAAUAAAUAAAUGAGAACACUGAAGAAAAGGGUUACAUAUUUUUGAGCGCCUAAAUUAGUAUUUUCAAGGGUAAAUGCAGCUCGAAUUGUGUAAUUAUUUGACUUCCAAGUAGGGUUGGUAAUGGGACGGGAUGGGAUGAGAUUUACCAAUCCCAGUCCCAUCCCGUAUAUGUAAAUGUGAUGAAAAAACGUCCCAAUCCUAUCCUUAUAUUUUUUUUGGGACAAAAAUAUGUCUUAAUCCCAUCCCAAAAGAGAUGGGAUCCUGCGGGAUCUCAUCCCAAUUGGAAAAAUUUUCAUUCUUAAUUGGUAAUGAGAUGGAAUUUGUCAAUCUCAUUCUCAUCCCACAUAUGUAAUUGGGAUAAAAAAAUGUCUCAAUUCCAUCCCUAAAUUUUUUUAUGGGACAAAAAUAUGUCUCAAUCCCGUCUCAAAUGGGAUGGGAUCCCGCAGGAUCCCAUCCCAUCGGGAAAAAUUGCCAUCCCUACUUCCAAGAGAUUGUUCUGAGGGUAGUUAAUGUCAUUUUCGAAACAAUACUAUAUAAAAAAAAAAAAUCCUCUAACAACUUAUUGGAAACUAUCUUUUUCCAAUGUAACUUAAUUCAACGAUGGUCAACGGCAUGAUUAUCUCGGAAAUGACUUUUUUCAUAGGCAUAUGUAUAUGUCUUCAUCGAAUUUAGUUAGGGUUUGAUUUGAACAAUUUAUAUAGCUCAAAUCCAAUUUAAACAAAUAAAUUUAUAACGAAGGAAGAUUGGGUUAAUAAUUGUUUAGGUGUGUUUUCUGAUAUUUGGGGGGGCAUGUGGCUUAUCUGAGGUGAUGUGGGAGGUGAUCUGAGGUGUUUUAAGUGGGGAAUAAUAUGGGAGCUCAGUUGGAGCUCAUGUGAGUUAGGUUAGAGAGUUGAUAUGGAGAGCUUAAGAGAGUUCAGUUAUCUCAGGUGCAGUUACGAAAUACCUAUGGAGAGCUUAUCUAGGGAGCUCAAUAGAGCUCAUCAUAUAACUCAUGUGAAUUCAUUUAUGAAAUGUGAUCUAGCCAUUAAAAUCAUCACAAUAAUCAGAAAACAAGUAUAAAAAAUAAAGAAAAUAGAAAAUUUUACGCGGUUCAACCUUUUAGCCUACAUCUAUAGAAGUAAUCAUCUCCAAUCUAUUAUGUAAGUGAAGUAUUAUAUAAUUUUCAUUACAAUAUGAUAGAGAUUAGAGUGUACGGAUUUUUUUAAAAAAAAGAAAAAUAAUCGAAAAGAAGAAUAAGGAAAAUGCUCUUUUAGAAGAUGGAGUGGUCAAGAUCUUUCAUAGAGUUUUUUUUUUUUACAAAAAAAAGAAGACACGUUAGAAAUGGUGGAAAAAGAAGAUAAAACUCCAGAGAAUUCAUAUCUCAAAAGAAGCCCAAAGAUCUUUCAAAAUUGAACAUGUGGAGCUUAUGUCAGAGUGUUCAUGAGAGUACCUUGAUAAUUCUUGACAGCUGGCAAACUCUCAUUGGAUCAUCCUCCUCAAAUGAGGUUAUUUUCAUUUUUUUUCUUUUAUUCACUUGAUAUCAACCCAAAUAACUGGUGAACAACUAAUUCCCUUUACUGUCAUAUAUUACUUGCCCUUUACCACGUGCACACGUGACAAGUGCUAGUGUAAUGGUCCUGCUACUUUUAGGGGGAUAAUUAAUGAGUAAUGACGUGUCUUUUUCUCAUUAUUAUGCUCAACUGAUCUAUAUUUCUACUGGUCCCUUGAUUUUAGCCUAAAGAACAAGAUACUUAUUGCUUUUCCAAUGACAUAUAGCUCCCACACCUGAAAGUUUAAGUUACUAUAUUUUAUUUCUAAUUUUGCCCCUUAAACUGGACAAAUUUAUAGGAGCUGUCCUACUUGAGAGUAACCUUGCUGUUUUGAAGCUAUCCUCCAUAUUCUAGCUAUAUUGGUGACUUUUUCUUCUAUUUUAUUCUCUGCGUGUCACCUACCAUUUGGUUAAAAUCAACAUCCCAAAUUUACCUCCAAACAGUGUAUUACCGAGGGUAUUUGCCCUUGCAAAUGACCUUUUUGUUCUACUCAAUUAUGUAGUAAUCACGGCAUAAUAGAAACAUUUGGUGUCUUCAAUCGAAAUAAAAAGAAAUAUAAUAGAUAGCCAUAAUUGUAUGAGGUUGAUUAUAUUUUUUUGGGAUAUUAUUCAACGAACAUAACGAAAGUCACUAUCAUUAUAUUAACGAGUAACAUUUAUUAUUAGUUGAGUGCAAUGAAUAAUGAAGUAUUAUUAGAAUUAAUCUUCACACCUAAGAUUGUGAAGAUAAUAUUAGUGAUCUUAUUGAAAGAUUUUUUCUGAGUUAAUAGUUGGAAAGUAGAAUACAUCUUUGAUAUGGAGGUAAAUUUUACACAUUUAAUAAAAAUGAUAUUGAAUAACAAUUUACUUAAUAUAUUUUAUUGUAGUUAUGCUAACUAUGGAAAAGUUAGGAAAUUUCUUAGGUUCUAUAUACUAUUGAGGUGUUCUUAUGAUUUAAAAACUAUAGUCUAUGUAAAAGAAAAACUUUUAGUCAUGAAAUAAAGGUUGAUAGUUAUUUAUAGUUUUCAAAUAAUAAUUUUAUAAAAAAAUACUAGCUCCAAAUCACAACAGCUACGCCUUUACAAAAUACUUUAGUGCUAAUGCCUUCAACUGUCUAAUUACAAUACUAAACAGGGUCUUAAUCUAUGCUAAAUUAAAAUAAUUUUUUCAUAAAUAUUAUUCAUUAAGAUAUAUGAACUUUUUAGUCAUAUAUAUGAAUCUUUUUAUAAUAACUGAUAUGCAUAUUACUAAUUUUAUUGAGGUUAUGAAAAACUAUUUGAAGGACAAAUAUGAACAUUACUUAUUUUAUUAUUUUUGUGAGGAAAUAAGUUGUUGGUAUGUUGGGUUUAAAUGCAAGAUUUGAAUAAUUCUUGGGGCAGUGUGCAAAUUGACUUCAGUUGGAGAGGUCUUGUUGGAAAACGUAUGCUGAUGUGGCAGAAUUCAUUGAGAGUUCGUUAUGACGUUUUCCAGAAAGAUCAGAAUAAAAGGCACUUGUGACUAGCAUCUGAUAUCAUAUUGAUAUCUUCUUCAUUUCUUGUUCAUUUUUCUUGCAAUUUGGUUCUUUGUGAUCCUUGUAAUUUCUUCUUUGUAAUCAGCCUCUAAUUCGAUUGUUGAGAUCAAUAAAAAAGAAGUUUUUUUCUUCAUCAAGUUAUGUACUUGGAACUGUGCUCUAAGUAUAAUUCUUGUGAUUUCUUUCUUGUUGGAUUAAUCUGGUCUGUUCUUUCAAGUCUGAUUCAUCAAAGUGCUUCUCGAAAUAUCUUGUGUAGCUAUUAGGAGUUAUAACAAUUUUUUGAGGUUAACCUUGGCAAUAUAAGGGAAGAUUUUAUUAAAUAAAGAGAAAAGAGAAAAUGACACCUAGUUAGGGGGGACUGACUUAUUUUAUAUAUUAUGAUUUGUAAAUAGUUUUUAAGAGUUAUUAGGCCACAACUAAACAUUCAAACUCUCUUUUCGCUUUGCCUAUCUAUUAAUGAUAAAUGACGUGUCACCAAUCAAUAACUAUCACGUAUUAGGUAAUGGUUGACUUUUUAUGUAAUCAUUAUCAUCAAUGAAUGAAUGAGCUUUAUUUUAUUUUAAAUGCAAAUUUUAUAUCCCAACUUUAUAUACUUAUUAUUACUUAUAGCUCUUAUUAAUUUUAAUUAUAUAUUUAGCAAGCUAAAUCACUUUCUUUUUAUUGUGUUUUGCUUUGAUCACUUACUCCCUACAACGUUUAUAAUGCCUUAUCGGUCUUUUGACAUUAAUUGGAACUGGACAAAAAAAAAGUAGUGGCCGGUUUCAGGGGCAGGGUGGAUAUUUAUUUGUUGCCACCAAAACCUUAAUGGUCUUCCGUUCAUUCAUAAGGAGCCGAGCAUGACUUCACCAAUUCAAAUUGUGAUAAUGCAACAAUUUUGUUAUAGUGGAUAAGGAAGAAAAAGGAAGAAGAAGAAGAAACGCGGGCAUUUUAUACUUAUAAAGUAAUCAAAUUAUUGCAUACAUUCUAUGAAAAAUAAUAAUUUAAAACGUAACACUCUCUCAAAACUUUAUUUAAAUGCUCAAAGAUAACAUAAUCGAUAGCUUCAGCUCCCUCAGCUUCUUAAUUUUAUUUUGUGUGUGUGUGUGUGUCUGUAUCUAUAUGUGUGAUACUAGUAAUGCCAGCGACGGAGCAGCGGCAGGACCAUGAACUUCAUCCUGCCUUCUCUGCAAUGGAGGCCGCCGUGUUCGCCGCAAGCAAAGUAGUAAGGCUGCCACCUCUUCAGCACAAACUCGAAGCCCUCCCCGUCACCUUGCGUGGAGUUUGCAAUCAUCUUGGCUCUCGACAGGUCGCAUCUCAGGUAACUCCACAGAUUUGGUAGCUGGUACACACUGUGUGGGAAAACGGUGUCGUUCGGGGAAUCAUACUUGAACACUGCAUGCAUGCAA